CCCAUAACAUCACCAUCUUGCUUUUGCUUUUUCUGGAAAAAUGUAACUAACUUGAGAAUCAAUUCUACUCUAGCUUCCAAGACAAACCUUAACCUUAGGGUAUUUAUAUGACAAUCUGUGGAGGUACUUAUGGAAUCAGCCCUCCAGACUCACUGAAGCUGGACUUCCCAAAUGAAACUACUACUUUCCAAUGCCUGGACUCAUAAUCCUUGCAAGAAUCCUGGUACAACAACUGCCUAUAAACACUUGCCAAAUCUGAGAUCAAGCUACUAACUGAAGUAGUCACAAUAGGAGGUGUCUUCACUAUAAAAAUAAUGAAGACCAUCAAUUUCAAGUUGGUUUUUUUAUGUCGUGAAUGGAAUGAAGGAGAGAUACCAUAGCUAUCUUUUCAGAGAGAGAAUUGGAUAUACUUUCCUGAUACACUUGGAACACUGUAAUCCUUGGCACAGGUAACAUCCGUGUUCUCAAAAAGGAGUUUGCAUUAUUUUUGCAGAAUGCGCUCAUGGGUCUCGUAUUAAAGUCUGUUCUACUGUGGAGAUACAUCCAGAAGUUCAGCAUAAAUACACUGAUUUUCAAAAACCUAGGAAUUAUCCUGCUUUUACCUUUUAUUCCCUGGAAAAAUUACUUCAAGUAAUUGGAUCUUGGUUUCCUCAUUUGUAAAAUGAAAAUAUUGUUAUUUACACCAUAUGGAUAU